GCUGCGGUGGGACAAUCUGGUACUCCGCUGGCCUUGAGAGCCAGUGCCUUUGGCAUUCCCGGUUCAAAACGACGGUAUCGUUCGUCGACCCUUGGGCGUACAUCGACUUUGUCGAGUACACCUGUUGGAUGAAACAUCGAUGCUUUCUGUGAAAGUCCGGGCCGCAGCG
rnacentral:tRNA from 1 species